UACAGAGGUCUCAAGCGUUGUUCGGAUUCAUUGGGCGUAAAGGGUGCGUAGGCGGCGAGGUAAGUCGGGUGUGAAAUCUCAGAGCUCAACUCUGAAACUGCACUCGAUACUGCUUUGCUAGAGGACUGGAGAGGAGAUUGGAAUUCACGGUGUAGCAGUGAAAUGCGUAGAGAUCGUGAGGAAGACCAGUGGCGAAGGCGGAUCUCUGGACAGUUCCUGACGCUGAGGCGCGAAGGCCAGGGGAGCAAACGGG
rnacentral:rRNA from 1 species